AGCGUCAGGUGUAUCAUGGUGGAGCGUUCAAUGGCAAUCACAUCCGUGUCGCCAUGAGACCCGCUGUUGUAACUGCCAUUACACAAGCUCCUGUGGCCAUCAUCUCAGCCAGACAGCCCAGUCUGCUUGCAGACGCACAAGCCAUCGCAGAGCGCUAUGGCAAAUUGAUCACCAUGUAUGCUGAUUGCAGCAGCAUUUUCAGCAAGUCAUCGGCAGUCGACGACGAUGCUCUCACCAAACUGGAGGCUUGCAUCAAAACGUUCCUUGCUGCUUGCAGGACCGAGAUCGUGGCCCGAGGCUUGGCGCAUGUAACGCCGAAGCUGCACCUGCUUGAGCACCAUACGUUGCCCAUGAUGCGUCGUCUCGGUGUCGGCAUUGGCUUGCUUGGGGAACACGGAGCAGAAAGUAUCCAUUCUGCGUUGAACAAUUACGAGAAGGACUUCAAAAAUAUCCCCGUCGCGAGUCAGCGUCUGAAGACCAUCGCUGAUCAGCAUCUGCUCUCCUGCGUUAUGGAAAUGAGUAAUCUUCGUCCCCAACGCAGUACCAGGAAGAGAAAAGCACUAGCACUAGAGGAGUAAUGCACCACCAGAGCCUUGACGUUGCUGGACGAGCGACAAUAUAAAUUACAUAAACAUGUAGCUCAUGAUGUGGGAUGACUGCCGUAUCGCAUUACCAACGCAAACCCAUCCUGUGUCAGUGCAGCCAUCCAGCAACUUGAACUCCCGGACCAGAUGCCGCUGCAGCUGAACACCAUGCCGAUGGAAAGCCAGGAGUUGAUAGCGAAGCAUUCUGGUCUGCACAGUACAAGCCGGCAAAGAACAAUUAUGAAUUAUAACGCAUUGUAAUCCUUCCCACACUUCCUUGUAAAAACAAACAAACAGUGCCAUUAUCACAACACUUGAUCAAGCUUCUUGAUGAAGGUAUUUUCCAUUGUGCUGGCCCAGCAUCUGCACCAGGAAGACCAUGUACACUUA